CGAUUAAUUACUGGGCGUAAAGCGUGCGCAGGCGGUUUUGUAAGACAGAUGUGAAAUCCCCGGGCUUAACCUGGGAACUGCGUUUGUGACUGCAAGACUCGAGUGCGGCAGAGGGGGGUGGAAUUCCACGUGUAGCAGUGAAAUGCGUAGAGAUGUGGAGGAACACCGAUGGCGAAGGCAGCCCCCUGGGUCGACACUGACGCUCAUGCACGAAAGCGUGGGGAGCAAACAGGAUUAGAUACCCUGGUAGUCCACGCCCUAAACGAUGCCAACUNGGUGUUGGGGAAGGAGACUUCCUUAGUACCGUAGCUAACGCGUGAAGUUGGCCGCCUGGGGAGUACGGUCGCAAGAUUAAAACUCAAAGGAAUUGACGGA
rnacentral:rRNA from 1 species